rnacentral:rRNA from 1 species
AUGAUAUAUGAGCUUGUGCAUUUCCUUAGCAAAUUUGUUGUGAUCUUUCUUGAUCGCAUAUUCAUACAUCAUGAUCAUAUUGCCUGCCAUCACUUGCAUGAUAACUCAUUCAUAUUGAGCAUCCAUUACCAUAUUCAUGUUACUGAUAAACUGUCUCACUAUGACAUCAUUUUGCACCGUGGUUGCAUUCAUCAUAUUCACAACACAUUUGUGUGCCUAAUGAAUGUUUUUGCUCCCAUGAAUGCUUUGCAUACCAUUCCAUAUCUUUUGGAUAAGCUUCAUGCACCUUGUCAUGCUCACUCUUGUCGCACGGACUCAUUAUUACAUGAUGGACACCUUGUGUGUGCUAACCAUUGUAUUUCCGAGUGUCGCUUGUGUUUGCUCUUUUUGCAUGUAUACCACUUCGGAGACACCUUGGAGUACUUGGAUUGCGGCAUGUCUUCAACUUCGUCCAACUUCAAGUCCGUCCACGACAACCGUUUCCAUGGUGAUGAGGAUCACGAUCCGAGGUCGGAUCUUUCCCAAGGGAGGGGAGAUGAUGCGGAGCAUCCUACGUUCAUCUCCAUGUACACAUUCAUAGCACAUCAAGCCCCAAGUGGACCUACUGGACUUAAGGUGAACCCGCCCCUCUUCAAGAUUUACAUGAAUAUCUAUGGGACUUGGUCGCUACCUCACCACGGAACGUUGUGCAUCAUUAGGUACGAGGGCGACCGCCGCCAAGCAGCUAAGGAGCUUCCCGGAGGCCAAGGAGAAGGACCCCAAGGCCACAAGGAAGAAGAAGGAGUGCACGAAGACCAACUCUGCACCUCCCAGGCGACCCCUUGCCCACGGGCCUCGAAGACCACGUGCGCAUGGGCUACACAGAGAGCUGGCGCUGGAGCACCCCGUGCACACGGGCUUGUACCGUGCCCACGGGACCCCUAUGCGCACAGGCCCAACAUACCCUGUGCGCAUGGGCCCUACAGGAUGGACAGUUGUGAUUGCUGUUUGGGCCUCCUCUUCAUCCACUUCGUCCCUCACCUCCAGCCACCUAUAUAUUCCGUACCUAGACCAUUUGUGAGGGUUAGCAAAGGAUAUGAUAGACAUAUGAGAGCUUUGCUCCAUGGAUCAACUCCACUAGGAGAUCAAGACCUCCUCUUGGAGUGA